UGCGAGUGAAGAGGGAAGAGCUCAUCAUUGGAAUCUGGCAGUGUUUCACUGUCCGAGUUGUAGAUGAGGAGUAGUCCGUCUGGACUGCAUGGCGUCCAAGUACAAUAGAGUGGGACAUCAUAGAGGGUGACAAUCCCGUCCUUGACGCCAAUGUGCAAGUCUAUUACGAUGGCUAUCUCAGAGAGUCGAGCAGUUUGGGAUUUGCUGCUUAAACAUGGGAGGUAGAUUCCUUCUAAAGCUAAAUACAGGCGAGAGACCGAUAGAGAACAAGUACCGCAAGGGAAAGAUGAAAUAGCACUCUGUGAAGGGAGUCAAAAGGCGUGAAAUUGUUGCGAGAGAAGCGAUUCAAGUCAGCGUAGCUAGGCCCAUCAAGCGUCUUCGCUUUGGACUAGCUUUGCCAGCGGUCUUGUCCCUUAAAGAGACUUGACUUGUAAUAUGUCCAGCCUGGCGUGCACAGGCAGCCCCUUCUGGGGGCCAGUGACAUGGCUGGUGGAAUGGCUUGCAAUCGACCCGUCUUGAAACACGGACCAAGGAGUCUAACAUGUAUGCGAGUAUAAGGGUGGCAAACCCGUAUGCGCAAUGAAAGUGAUUUUCGGUGAUUGAGAUGUCCCUCGUACGGCCAUUGCCCAAGUUCCGUGGUAGAUCCCACGAACAUGGAGUUGGAGCAUACAUGCUAGGACCCGAAAGAUGGUGAACUAUGCCUGGACAAAGCGAAGCCAAAGGAAACUCUGGUGGAGGCUUGUAGCGAUUCUGACGUGCAAAUCGA
rnacentral:rRNA from 1 species